UGGGGGAUUAGUGGCGAACGGGUGAGUAACACGUGAGUAACCUGCCCUUGACUCUGGGAUAAGCCUGGGAAACUGGGUCUAAUACCGGAUAUGACUCCUCAUCGCAUGGUGGGGGGUGGAAAGCUUUUGUGGUUUUGGAUGGACUCGCGGCCUAUCAGCUUGUUGGUGGGGUAAUGGCCUACCAAGGCGACGACGGGUAGCCGGCCUGAGAGGGUGACCGGCCACACUGGGACUGAGACACGGCCCAGACUCCUACGGGAGGCAGCAGUGGGGAAUAUUGCACAAUGGGCGCAAGCCUGAUGCAGCGACGCCGCGUGAGGGAUGACGGCCUUCGGGUUGUAAACCUCUUUCAGUAGGGAAGAAGCGUAAGUGACGGUACCUGCAGAAGAAGCGCCGGCUAACUACGUGCCAGCAGCCGCGGUAAUACGUAGGGCGCAAGCGUUAUCCGGAAUUAUUGGGCGUAAAGAGCUCGUAGGCGGUUUGUCGCGUCUGCUGUGAAAGACCGGGGCUCAACUCCGGUUCUGCAGUGGGUACGGGCAGACUAGAGUGCAGUAGGGGAGACUGGAAUUCCUGGUGUAGCGGUGAAAUGCGCAGAUAUCAGGAGGAACACCGAUGGCGAAGGCAGGUCUCUGGGCUGUAACUGACGCUGAGGAGCGAAAGCAUGGGGAGCGAACAGGAUUAGAUACCCUGGUAGUCCAUGCCGUAAACGUUGGGCACUAGGUGUGGGGGACAUUCCACGUUUUCCGCGCCGUAGCUAACGCAUUAAGUGCCCCGCCUGGGGAGUACGGCCGCAAGGCUAAAACUCAAAGGAAUUGACGGGGGCCCGCACAAGCGGCGGAGCAUGCGGAUUAAUUCGAUGCAACGCGAAGAACCUUACCAAGGCUUGACAUGAACCGGAAAGACCUGGAAACAGGUGCCCCGCUUGCGGUCGGUUUACAGGUGGUGCAUGGUUGUCGUCAGCUCGUGUCGUGAGAUGUUGGGUUAAGUCCCGCAACGAGCGCAACCCUCGUUCUAUGUUGCCAGCGGUUCGGCCGGGG
rnacentral:rRNA from 1 species